GUUCGCGAUGUCUUUCUCCUGACUCCUCGACGAGUUUCUAGCUAUCGCGUUGUGCCCAACUCGACCUAUGGCCAGCACCGUGCCGGUGAACAGCUGCUGGUCGCUCUGGCUCAUCAAAAACGGCGCCGUCACGCAGGACAGCGUGAUCAGAAUCAUCAACAUGCCUACGCUGUACUUGAUGAUCCUCGAGCUCGACUUGUGCGAUGUCUGAGGGAACCCGGAAGACGAAAACUGGUCCGUUUGCGGUAGGAUUGUGUACUGCAGGCUGGCAUCGCCUUUUCGUACCGUUUUGUACAUAAUUGAUAAACCUAUACUCACGAUAUGCGAAGAACCGAAGGGGUUGGUUUUCUCCGUUUGGACUUCCGGCAGCCUGCUCCGUCGGAACGAACACGACGAUCCGGGACGGGCAGAACCUCGCCUGUGAGAGAAAUUUUGUUGGAAAAUGCGCAGAUGCGUCUGGCCAGGGGGUGCUAACGCGGCUGCGCAACGCGCACACGUCACAGCCAACAUCCGGAAGACCGUCGCUAUUUCAAUGUUUUCAGCCGUCGCGUCGACGAUCGACGAGCACGCGAGCAACUAGCUUGGGUUCAAGGACGUUGGAGGACGCAUCGACCUUGAACCUCUCUCGUUACAUACGUCCAGUGAUGAAUCCUUUAUCUUCGAUCUUGGGUUUUGGAUAGAGAUCUUUCUUAUCUUUAUUUACCGGUUGGUGGUGGUGGUGGUUUCCGUAGGAGCACGGGGGAUAAUCCGACGUAUCGGUGUCGGAGGAAUUGCUUUUCUACUGGGAUUAAUUCGAUACAGUAGGGUCGAAUUAAAUAACAAAAAAGCUAUAGUUAUAUUUGCGGAUACAUAGUUACAUUUUUCAGGACUAUCGGAGAACGGAAGAUUACUAAAAAAAAUAGUAGAAAAAUCUACGUUAUUUUAUAAACGUAUAUGUUCUUCCAAAGAAUAUAGAACACAAAAUUUCACCGAUGGUAUUUUAUUAUUUUGUUACAAAAUAUAAACAAACAUAGUAAACACAAUAGGAAGCGUAUUUCUUUCGACUUAUCCGACAGUAAGUUAUUUCGGACUAAUGGAAGACAUUGUUCGUUACAGUGGUAUUAGAAAUUAUCCGGUAUAAGAAACUCAUCUUUUCCUAAAAAGAGAAAUAUCGUCCGUUUAUAAAAUUUCGUAUGGAGUAUAGAGAAAGAUUUCCAACUGUAACGCUUUGUAUCACUGUAAUCGAGGAACAUUUGUUUUAUUGCAUGGUUGGCAUUGCCGUCGAGGAAGCGAUAUCACCAGCGUCUCCGGAUCUCCACAGCUGCGUUAUCGUUUUUACUUGCGUGUGGAAAUUUAUACCCUAGACAAAUUAGAAAGUUCAUUUCUUUUUUUAUCGAGCCGGUUAAAAAACAUCGCUUAUACAGUACGUAUUUGUCGAAAAGGGCACUACUGUUCGAUGAAAGUGACACGAGAUACCUGAACGUAUGGACCUUCGAAGCGCGAUUUGGAAAUACGCGUGACUCAUCGGAGUGGAACACGCGCGAUGUAUAGAAAAGUUCUUCUUCUUUAAUGCAGUUAAUAUUUAACGAUAGGAGAAAAUUUGAUCGGUGGUUUGGAGAACGAUAGUUUACGUAUCUAGUAAUUCUUCUCCGCUCUGGAUGGAUCUCCUCGUGUAAGCUCGCGCGUGAAUCUACCGAUGGGUAAGGCUAUCGAUAGACGAGCAACGUUUUAGCAAUAAAAAUUCGGGGACUCGGGGCACACGUGCUUAGCCGCGAAGAGUCAUAAGCGAGACACGGGCAGAGCGCGUGCGACAAUUCUCGCGUAAUACCGGCUUAAUAUUCAGCGCAACGGAACGGCCCGAUUACGAAACUGCGCCGCAAAACACCUGGU
rnacentral:misc_RNA from 1 species